rnacentral:rRNA from 1 species
UUCCAGACUCCUACGGGAGGCAGCAGUGGGGGAUAUUGCACAAUGGGGGAAACCCUGAUGCAGCGACGCCGCGUGAAGGAAGAAGUAUCUCGGUAUGUAAACUUCUAUCAGCAGGGAAGAAAAUGACGGUACCUGACCAAGAAGCCCCGGCUAACUACGUGCCAGCAGCCGCGGUAAUACGUAGGGGGCAAGCGUUAUCCGGAUUUACUGGGUGUAAAGGGAGCGUGGGCGGCGACGCAAGUCAGAAGUGAAAGCCCGGGGCUCAACUCCGGGACUGCUUUGGAAACUGCCCGGCUAGAGUGCUGGAGAGGUAAGCGGAAUUCCUAGUGUAGCGGUGAAAUGCGUAGAUAUUAGGAGGAACACCAGUGGCGAAGGCGGCUUACUGGACAGUAACUGACGUUGAGGCUCGAAAGCGUGGGGAGCAAACAGGAUUAGAUACCCUGGUACC